GGAGCUGUAUCAUAAGGAUCAUGAAUAUAUUAUAUAUUUAUAACUCAUACUUUCUUAUUUCAGAUAGAAUAAUUUUCUGUUGUCCCGGCUGCCGGACUGUUUUUCCCAAGUCAAAGAAAAAUAAACUCAAGGAUUCAAAGAGAAAAAGUCAUUCUCUACAUAAAUUUCCUAAAGAUCAUAGAUUUCUGAAGCAAUUGAUUAUAGUAUUUACAAAAGCCAAAAUAAGGAGCCAAACCAUUAUUCAAGAAUUUGUAGUAUGCAUUUUUUGGAGAAAAUUUUAUAAGUGAAAGAACAGAUUUUUUCGAAGUCAAAGACGUAGACUUAUCCAAAAAAGAAGACUCAAUGCAGAUGCUGUCCCAACAAUAUUUUCCGAUGUUCCAGGGUUCCAGAAAGUUUCUGAAAAACCUACUAAAUUAGCUUCUUCAACUAAUAGUUUUUACAGAUCCGAACGAGAUAAAAGUCGUCUUAAUAAUCGAAUUCGCUAAUUUUUAAAAGAAGACGUUAUCACAAAAAUCAUGAAUAUUAAGGAGAAGCUGGAUAAAUCAUGCUUUCUGGGAGGCAUUCAUGAAAUAUCAAAUGAAGAAUAUACUAGUUAUUUUUCUCUAUCUAAAGACAAUAUUGUUUUCUACCAUUUUAUAGGGCUGGAAAGUGGAAAAAAGAUUUUUCUUACUCGAUUUUCGCCAAUGGUUAAACUUUUGGAUGACUAUUUUAAUGAGCAAGAAUCGCAUUUCCUCAAUAAUCUUGGAUUCAUUAUUGAACAACUCCAUUUAUUCUCUUUAAGUGUGAGCAGGCAAAGAUACUCAGCAACAUUAUUAGGAUUUUCAACGCUGCGGCAUAAUACAAGCCCUGCUUUAUACAAACAAAUUAAGGAGUCUGGAUAGAUUUUCUGACAAUCAGUAACCCACAUUAAAUGAUUAACAAGGGUUUUCUCUUUUCGUGGAGGAAUUGCAAAUUCUACAAUUUACUAUCUCAAAUCAAGACAUGGAUCAUUCAAUGAAGAAUAUAAGUAUGUAUUAAUAAAAAUUGACGAAGUUUAUUCAUCGUAGCGAAUAGAAUUCAGUUAGGGCAAUUUUUUUGGAUGUGAACCUGGUAGAAAUUACUUUAAAAGUUUGCGCUGCUUCAUGAUUAAAGGUAUUCUUGGAAAUUGAAAUGAUGUAGUGGCUAUCAAUUGCAUUACUUCAUUUAUUAUUAAAGAAAAUUAAAUGAAGGUUCUAAAAGUAGUUACAAAAGUUGGUUUUGAACCAGUUGUAACAAUUGUGAUGUUGAUGCAGCAAAUGGUAAGUUCUAUGCUUAUUAACUUGUAAAUGGAACUGCUCCCUCAUACAUUAUCGACCCUUUUUUAUUAUUGGAACAAAAAAUAUUUCUGCCCUUUGAUUCUGUACACAUCUUUAAAAUUAGUAAAACAACUUGAGAAUCUUUGGUCAGUUUACUUAACCUUCCUUUGAAGAUAAAAAUAGGAUACUUAAAGCUGAUUAUGGAAAUGUAAAACAAAUCUACAAUAUGGAACUUGAUCAUGUACUGAAAAUAGUUUACACGCUAAAUCAUACAGUUAUUUCCACUGAACCGAUCGAAAGGACAAAUGUGGAUUUGUCAGAUGAAAAAUUUAUAAAUUUGAAAAAAACAGCUCAAUUUGUUUAUAUGCUGAAACGUUCUCAGAACUGUGUCGACAUUAAUUAUAACUCUAUACAUAUCCGAAAGAGGGAUGCUUCUAUAAAACCCAAAUCUGAUAAUCAAAGAGAGCAAAUCCAUUUUUUAAUUAACAUUGCUGAAUGGAUUAAAUGCUGCGAGGAACACAGAGGUGGUCUAUCUUCAGAGACGUUUCUUGUAUCUUAUCAAUUUUUUCGUAAAAUCAAUUCGAACCCAAGAGAAAAAAAAUGUGCUGAAUUUCUAUUGAAUUGUGGAUUGGCUCCAUGUUCCGCCUUCUACAUAUAUGUAUGUAUAAUGAGACAUUUAUAUAAAAUAAAUGAAGUCCUUCAUAAUGAAAUAAAUAAUUUUUUUAUUUGAAAAAUUAUUUUGGGCAAUUUUAUAUAGGAAUAUGAUGUCUAA
rnacentral:lncRNA from 1 species